GGUUUAGUUUUCUAUCAUCAAAAUUACGUCUCCCGCUCUGUACGUUUUCCCGGACGGAGCUUCUGAUUUUGUAUCUUUUUGUGUUUUAUAUAUAACGUUCAUUUGGAAAUCUGGAACGUGACUGGGUAUUCAUGAUAUUAAGAAUAAUUGUUUCUAACUUUUUUCUCUUUUGAUUUAUUUUCUACGUUUUUUAAUUCCAGAUUUGUAGCCACUAUUUUAAGCCUCUGAUGAAUAAAGCGGAUAGAUUUUAGUGAGGUUUGAUAAUCUUCAUACGUGUGGAUGUUUAUAUACUCACACACAUAUUGUGUUUCAAAUGAUGGCUAGUUGUCCUUGAAGGACAAUAUUAUCUUAAACAAUAGCCUUUUCCCCCCUAAAACUUGAUGUAUGGGUAGAUUAAUUAUAUCCGUUCUAUCUUUAGUUCUCGUAUUUUGGUUUUCACCCAGUUUGUAUGAGUGUACGUUUUAUUUGUGAAACAAAUAGAACUGUUGUGAGAGGUUUCGGUAUUUUAAAUUGUUGUUUGGUUGGUGAUUGAUGACGAUUGCAUGUUUGAUUUUCGACUGUCGUCCUACUUAUUCUCAGAGAUGUGCUUUCCUCCUUAAAAUUGUAAUAUGGGUUGACCAUCAAUUCUUUUUUCCGUGUUCGUUGAUUUAAGUGUGAAAAAAUUGUUGCUUUGUGGGCAGGUGUUAAUUUAAUUCUUGGAGGAAGUCCUCUUGACAAAUACCUUUUCAUUUUCGUGCCAUUUAAAGGCUAACCAAGAUGGUGAAGCUCACAGCAGAUGAGCUUCGGAGGAUUAUGGACUACAAACACAACAUCCGCAAUAUGUCUGUUAUUGCGCAUGUUGAUCAUGGUAAGUCUACACUUACUGAUUCUCUCGUGGCUGCUGCUGGUAUCAUUGCACAAGAAGUUGCGGGUGAUGUCCGGAUGAUGGAUACCCGUGCGGAUGAGGCAGAACGUGGCAUGACAAUUAAAUCCACUGGUAUCUGUCUCUAUUAUGAGAUGACUGAUUAGGCUCUGAAGAGCUACAAGGGAAUGAGUACCUCAUCAAUCUCAUUGACUCCCCCGGGCACUUUGACUUCUCAUCAGAUGUCACAGCCGCGCUUCGCAUUACUGAUGGUGCACUUGUGGUCGUUGAUUGUGUUGAAGGUGUUUGUGUCCAGACGGAAACUGUGCUCAGACAGGCCUUGGCAGAAAGGAUUAGGCCUGUCUUGACUGUUAACAAAAUGGACAGGUGUUUCCUUGAGCUCCAGGUUGAUGGAGAGGAGGCUUAGCAAACAUUCCAGAGGGUUAUUGAAAAUGCAAAUGUCAUCAUGGCCACAUACGAAGAUCCCCUCUUUGGUGAUGUUCAGGUUUAUCGUGAGAAGGGGACAGUUGCCUUCUCUGCUGGUUUGCACGGUUGGGCUUUUACUCUGACCAAUUUUGCCAAGAUGUAUGCCUCCAAGUUUGGAGUGGAUGAGGCCAAGAUGAUGGAAUGGCUCUGGGGUGAAAACUUCUUUGACCCAGCUACAAAGAAAUGGACCAGCAAGAACACUGGGUCUCCUACCUGCAAGCGUGGACUUGUUCAGUUCUGCUAUGAACCUAUAAAGCAGGUAAUCAACACUUGCAUAAAUGACCAGAAGGACAAGUUGUGGCCAAUGUUGCAGAAGCUUGGUGUCACCAUGAAGUCAGAGGAGAAGAUUUAAUGGGGAAGGCAUUGAUGAAACGUGUCAUGCAGACCUGGCUGCCAGCUAGUAGUGCCCUGUUGGAAAUGAUGAUAUUUCACCUUCCCUCUCCUGGCACGGCCCAAAAGUAUCGUGUUGAGAACUUGUACGAGGGUCCCCUCGAUGAUAUUUAUGCUAAUGCUAUCAGAAACUGUGAUCCCGAGGGCCCUCUAAUGCUCUAUGUAUCAAAAAUGAUUCCUGCAUCUGAUAAGGGUAGGUCCUUUGCCUAUGGUCGGGUGUUUGCUGGUAAGGUCUCGACUGGGCUGAAAGUUAGAAUCAUGGGUCCCAACCAUGUGCCUGGGGAAAAGAAGGACUUGUAUGUUAAGAGUGUGCAGAGAACUGUUAUCUGGAUGGGGAAGAAGCAGGAAACAGUAGAGGACGUUCCUUGCGGUAACACGGUUGCCUUGGUUGGGUUGGAUCAGUAUAUCACCAAGAAUGCUACUUUGACAAAUGAGAAGGAAGUUGAUGCGCACCCAAUCCGUGCCAUGAAGUUGUCUUUAUCGCCUGUCGUACGUGUGGCUGUUCAAUGCAAGGCUGCAUCUAACCUUCCCAAGCUUGUUGAAGGACUAAAACGUUUGGCAAAGUAGGAUCCUAUGGUCGUCUGUUCUAUUGAAGAGUCUGGAGAGCGCAUCAUAGCUGGUGCUGGAGAACUCCACCUUGAGAUCUGUUAGAAGGAUUUGCAGGAUGAUUUUAUGGGUGGUGCAGAGAUUAUUAAGUCUGAUCCUGUUGUAUCCUUCCGUGCGACAGUCCUUGAGAUGUCUUCCCGUACUGUGAUGAGCAAGUCACCCAACAAGCACAAUCGUUUGUACAUGGAAGCCCGUCCCUUGGAAGAGGGGCUUGCAGAGGCCAUUGAUGAUGGCCGUAUCGGUCCAAGGGAUGAUCCUAACGUUCAUUCCAAAAUCUUGUCUGAGGAGUUUGGUUGGGAUAAGGAUCUUGCGAAUAAAAUUUGGUGUUUUGGCCCGGAGACUACCGGCCCUAAUAUGGUAGUGGCUAUGUGUAAGGGAGUUCAGUACGUGAAUGAAAUUAAGGAUUCUGUUGUGGCCGGGUUUCAGUGGGCUUCUAAGGAAGGUGCAUUGGCUGAAGAAAACAUGAGAGGUAUCUGCUUUGAAGUCUGUGAUGUGGUUCUUCACGCCGAUGCCAUCCACAGAGGUGGUGGUCAGGUCAUUCCAACUGCUAGGAGGGUUAUAUAUGCUUCCCGGCUGACUGCCAAACCCAGGCUUCUUGAACCUGUGUACUUGGUGGAGAUCCAAGCUCCUGAACAGGCACUUGGUGGUAUCUACAGUGUUCUUAACCAGAAACGUGGGCAUGUGUUUGAGGAAAUCCAGAGGCCUGGUACGCCUCUUUACAACAUCAAGGCAUACCUUCCUGUCAUUGAAUCUUUGGGAUUCUCAAGUACGUUGAGGGCUGCAACCUCAGGGCAGGCUUUCCCCCAAUGUGUCUUCGAUCACUGGGAUAUGAUGUCAUCUGAUCCAUUGGAAUCUGGAUCACAGGCAGCGCAGCUUGUGACGGACAUUCGCAAUAGGAAGGGCUUGAAGGAGCAGAUGAAGUCGUUUUACCGGUGGAGCAAGAAGUUAUGAACCUGGGUGAGAGAUUGACUGCAGGGAAUCAUCCCUCCACAGCCGCCACCUUGCUCUCUCUUUCGCUUUACUUUGUGUCCUGUUUAUUGUCGUAGUAAUGUGUCUUAUUGGAAUCAACCUCCAUUGUUAUCGUCUUAGUUUGGUCUGUAAAUAUUUCUUUCGAAGGACAGGAUGUAAUUUCGUAUUGAGUUACAUUUACUAUGUUUUGAACUAUUCCGACUGAUGGUUAAAUUAUUUAGUUGCCGUGACUUGUGACGGUGCUUUUCUUUUAUGCA